GAUUUUAUAGAAGGCAGUUGUCACAUGCUGAAAUGCAAAUUGCGCAUAACUAUGUGAUAUUCAAUUUUCAAGAACUGAAGCCUUAUUUAGAGCAAUGUCAUCAAGAGCUAAAGUCACAACAACCACAUGCGAGUGAUGGUGAAAUUGAAAAAUUAUGCGAAGUGAUCUUUCCAAAUUGGUUAAAAAAUAAUGUGGAAUACCAAUCUAACGGAAUUGAAAAUCAGCUAUUUGGACUUGUUAUGGGCCCUUCAACUUCACUGAAAUGUUAUAAUGGGUAUUAUGUGAAUGGUUUUAAAUUUCAUACUCAA